rnacentral:rRNA from 1 species
UACGUAGGGGGCAAGCGUUGUCCGGAUUUAUUGGGCGUAAAGAGCUCGUAGGCGGUUUGUCGCGUCUGCCGUGAAAGUCCGGGGCUCAACUCCGGAUCUGCGGUGGGUACGGGCAGACUAGAGUGAUGUAGGGGGAGACUGGAAUUCCUGGUGUAGCGGUGGAAUGCGCAGAUAUCAGGAGGAACACCGGUGGCGAAGGCGGGGUCUCUGGGGCCGAUACUGACGCUGAGGAGCGAAAAGCGUGGGGGAGCGAACAGG